AUUGAACGCUGGCGGCAUGCCUUACACAUGCAAGUCGAACGGUAACGCGCCUUCGGGUGCCGACGAGUGGCGAACGGGUGAGUAAUACAUCGGAACGUGCCCGAUCGUGGGGGAUAACGAGGCGAAAGCUUUGCUAAUACCGCAUACGAUCUACGGAUGAAAGCAGGGGACCGCAAGGCCUUGCGCGGACGGAGCGGCCGAUGGCAGAUUAGGUAGUUGGUGGGAUAAAAGCUUACCAAGCCGACGAUCUGUAGCUGGUCUGAGAGGAUGAUCAGCCACACUGGGACUGACACGGCCCAGACUCCUACGGGAGGCAGCAGUGGGGAAUUUUGGACAAUGGGCGCAAGCCUGAUCCAGCCAUGCCGCGUGCAGGAUGAAGGCCUUCGGGUUGUAAACUGCUUUUGUACGGAACGAAAAGCCUUCUUUUAAUACAGGAGGGUCAUGACGGUACCGUAAGAAUAAGCACCGGCUAACUACGUG
rnacentral:rRNA from 1 species